ensembl:lncRNA
AUGUCGCCCCCUGUUGGAAGAAAGAACCGGCUGGCCGCACGCAGAUCCUGACAAAGAGAUACCCGGUCCCUUACCCGACCUAGUUGUAGGCCUAUCUGUGGUUUCAGGGUCUCCACAAACCUGUUAGGAACCCCACCCAAACUCCCUGUUCUGAAUCCCCAGCUCCACACCCUCCAAACUCCAUGUGGUUCAGCCCGAGUGUUUUAUUCACGGUGUCGGAGGCCUGACGGAGAGGUCCAUUACAGAGGCAGUGAGGCUCAUUGCUGGAGUGGUGUUGUCUCUACGGGAUAAAUCAUCUGUAGGCCUACGUGACAAAGGCCCACCAUAGACACAAGUUAAACGAGCUUGCGCGUUCUGGAGAUGGCUCAUGAAGAAUCUCUCAAACACAGCUCCUUAUAUGAAUCCUCUGAUCCAUUUCCUGCCCGGCUGCCCUUCAGUAAGAAGAAGCGUGUGGAGUGUAAGGCCUGGAUUACCAACUUCACGAUGAAGAACACAACCCGUCCGGUUUAGUCUCUAGGCCAACCUCCCAUGGAGUAACUGUACAGCCAGGCCUCCUACAACUACUUGGUCGACAAGGAGCUGACCAGUGCAACGAGAGGUCCAUGAGAGCGGUGAGCCAUCAGGGCCGGAGACGUUCACGUUAAGCACAACCUUUUAGACGAAGACACUGCAAACCACCAACCAUCUCAAACAAUCAAAAAAAGUGCUGCUCGGGUUUCAUGCCGGGCCAGAGGAAGGUGUGUCUCAGGAGGAAUGACAAGCAUGAGGUGAAGUUGUCAACAUGCGACUCUGUGGUGCCUCCAUCAGGACGGAGACAGGAAGAAGGGCAGGUCUACGACUGUGAAGCAGCCCAAUGGCAAGUAGGGCUGGGAGUGAAACAACAAUAGUUGUUGUUAAUGCAGCAUCGUCGAUUAACCAGGAACAUACAGGUGUCAAAUACCCAUAGAAAACACUCCAUGGCUUGCUCUGCCCCUGUUAUAACUACAGCUGCUGUAUGUAUGUAGCAUAGAAUACGGUCUCCCCCCAUCGGAUGCUGGUUUUUCCAAGAACAGGAGACCAUGGAUGCAGUGCACAAAAACAAUGUUGUUUGCUGGUUCUGAGGCAGCAUGGACAGAUAAAACCCUGUUUCUGUAUUUUUACACAAUGUUGUUAGAAUUGUAUGAUUUAUCAUUCAGAUCUUUCUUUAUAUGGCCCUUAUGCAGACUAAAAGGGCAUGUAAAAAUAUGUUGAUAUCGACACUGUAUUGGGGGGCUUUACUGUAAUAAAGUACUUUUGCUGAGCUUAAAUAUUGAGUCUGCUCGGGUUUCCAGCCAGUAUUCUCAGAUGAUCCAUUUUUUACAAAAAACGAUUAUCAUUAUUAUUAUCAUAAUCUUAUAUUUAAUUGAUGCCAAGGGCAGUUCCAACUGGUUUCUGGUCUAAAGUCUAACCGGGUGCGAGCAAGUAGUUCAGGUUUAAUUAACAGGUAAUCAGUGGGUUGCACAGCGUUUACAAGUUGUAUCUCUAGAUUAAAGAUUUGUGUCAUGCCCUUUACAGCAGGGCACACAACAAUAAAUGUAGUCCAGGCAAAUAACAACAGCACUAGGGCCUUCUGGCACUAAAUUAUGCUGUAGUUACCAGAAUCAUAAACCUUUAGACAAAAUGAGGUUUAUACCUCAAAUGUAGGUACAAUACAUUGAUGCUG